AGUGAACGCUGGCGGUAGGCCUAACACAUGCAAGUCGAACGGCAGCACAGGAGAGCUUGCUCUCUGGGUGGCGAGUGGCGGACGGGUGAGGAAUACAUCGGAAUCUACUCUGUCGUGGGGGAUAACGUAGGGAAACUUACGCUAAUACCGCAUACGACCUACGGGUGAAAGCAGGGGAUCUUCGGACCUUGCGCGAUUGAAUGAGCCGAUGUCGGAUUAGCUAGUUGGCGGGGUAAAGGCCCACCAAGGCGACGAUCCGUAGCUGGUCUGGGAGGAUGAUCAGCCACACUGGAACUGAGACACGGUCCAGACUCCUACGGGAGGCAGCAGUGGGGAAUAUUGGACAAUGGGCGCAAGCCUGAUCCAGCCAUACCGCGUGGGUGAAGAAGGCCUUCGGGUUGUAAAGCCCUUUUGUUGGGAAAGAAAUCCAGCUGGCUAAUACCCGGUUGGGACGACGGUACCCAAAGAAUAAGCACCGGCUAACUUCGUGCCAGCCGCCGCCGUAA
rnacentral:rRNA from 1 species